GGUGUUGCUACAUGGAGUAGGUUUUCUGCAACGUACAAAAAAGCUUUCUGCACCAUGUACACCAUUGACACCUGCCUUGGAUGUGGACGACUAUAUAAAAACUGCACACCAGGAUAUGUUGGGACAGGAAAAAGGGGAGCGCUAGAAGCAAUCUAUUCUGAAGCUGAAGAUCCGGGAUACUGCAAUCACUUCUGCAGCCAAUUGCAAUAGAUGUCCCUCUUGCCUGUCCUCCAGCCCCUGCACGUCGAGAGGAACAGAC